rnacentral:rRNA from 1 species
GAUGAACGCUAGCGGCAGGCUUAAUACAUGCAAGUCGAGGGGUAGCAAGAUUGUAGCAAUACAAUUGUUGACGACCGGCAAACGGGUGCGGAACACGUACACAACCUUCCUACAAGUGGGGAAUAGCCCAGAGAAAUCUGGAUUAAUACCCCGUAACAUAGCGAUGUGGCAUCACAUUGCCAUUAUAGCUUCGGCGCUUGUUGGGGGGUGUGCGGCUGAUUAGAUAGUUGGCGGGGUAACGGCCCACCAAGUCUACGAUCAGUAGCUGAUGUGAGAGCAUGAUCAGCCACACGGGCACUGAGACACGGGCCCGACUCCUACGGGAGGCAGCAGUAAGGAAUAUUGGACAAUGGACGCAAGUCUGAUCCAGCCAUGCCGCGUGAAGGAUUAAGGUCCUCUGGAUUGUAAACUUCUUUUAUAAGGGACGAAAAAAGGUCUUUCUAGAUCGUCUGACGGUACCUUAUGAAUAAGCACCGGCUAACUCCGUGCCAGCCGCCGCCGUAAAAC